AAAACAAUGCCGUUGUAUCGGUAAAGAACAUGCUAGGCAUUAACAACCAUGUAUCUUUGGAAAUUUUAAAAUUCAACAGAAGAUGAUUUGAAUGCAGAUGUGGCCUCAACAUGACAAAUGCUAAUAAAUAGCAAUAGUUGUUGGAGCACUAAUCUGCUAAAAAACUAAAAAUACGAGCAAUUAAGCAAAUAAUGCAAAUUAGCAUGAGCACCUGGCGGCCCAACCGCAUGCAAAUAGAACACGUAGGGCAGCCCAGCCAGGUGCAGCCUGAUCAACCGAAUGGAUAAGGAAGAGUAGACAGGGAUAUCCACAGAAGGAGUAGAUUCGAUCCCCAAUCCACACGACCAAGACCGGAGGGACUCCAGCCGCGCUCUUCCUCGGAGGCACCUACGGCCGGUCGCCCGCAUCACGGGCGACGGGAGGAACUCCAACCGCACUAUUCAUCGUUAGAGGAGUCGCCGGUUAGGCGGAUGCCAUGCACUGCCCGAGCGCUGUGAAGGCGGAGGUCACGAGGCGCCGGCGAGUGCCUGUGUGCGGCGAGGACGCCACGGCGGCACGGGCCGGGCGCGCGCGAGGGCGGCCACGGCCUGACGCAGGGGCCCGGCCACGGGUGUGGCGCGGCCGCGGCCGGGCGGCGGGGGGCGCUUGGCGCGACUGCAUCAACAUCGACGACUGCGGCGUCGGAGGAGCCGCUCAUGCCGGAGGGCGACCCUGUAGAGGGCCAGCGCCGCCGAUCUGUGCGGAUGCGCGUUUCCGUCGCGGGACGCGAAGCCAGUGGUUCCGGUCGCCCAGUCCAGAGCGGGGUCGAGGCCAGACGCUGAUGGCAAGAUGACGAUGAGCGCCACCACCAGUUCAGCGAAGAUGGUAAUGAAGUGAGGCAUCGUACCUUGAUUCACGUUCUAUAAAGAGAAAUUUGGAUCGACGGAUGCCAAUGCCCUUGUUCCUCAUUAUCUCCUACACUUCCUGCAAGGAAUCGCUCUUGAAGAGUUAAUUUAGAGAUCGAGAGAUUCAUGUCGUUGCCAUGCAUGAUGCAAGGCUGCCGCUUGGAAGCGUUUCCGCCGGGCUGAGGCCGUCCAAUUAAUGAGCGCUGCCGUAGACGGAGAACGGCACACAGAUGGAUUCGCUCCGCCGGGGGCGCGCUGAUAACGUGUUUCGAGUAGAGGACGAGAGACAAUCGACAAGGAUGUAAAGUGAACAGUUGUUUUUAUUGAUGAUGGGAUUACACAUAUAUAUAUAGCCUCCGAAGAGGUGCGUUCGAAGGGACAUGAGACAAUCGCCUCAAUUAGGAAAAGCAGAGAUUAAUAGGAUUAAUUAAAUCCUAACAAUUUUCUCUUCUCCACGCUGGCAUAUUUUCCUUGCUACCUCAAGCCACCAUUACUUUCAGUUAAUUCCCACUACUCCGGCCGUUCUAUAAGAUUAACUGAGGAGGCAUUUGAACGGCCGGCCGGAGUAGUAACGUCGCCCGUAUUCAGAAGCCUAUCACGAUGGUUCCCUUAUCUUCCCUCAAUCAAUAUAUCUUCACAAAAUUUGCCUUCAGAGUCUUCAAAUAAAAACAGUUCCCUUUCACAUCCUCUCCCCGAUGUACUUCACGAGCCCGACUUCUCCCUAGCAGCGUAGGUAUAUGAAGAUGUGGCGGCGGCUUGAGGGAAUUAGGGGGCGGAGGCCUGGGGACGACAUGGCGGUUCGCUCACCUCACAAAAAUCCGAGCGUGCUCUUCCUCCCUUCCCUCUCGAGAUUUGCGGCGGCUAUGGAGCGUGGGCACACAGACAGCGGCGAAUGGAGGGUUGCAGCACCGGAUCGAUGAAUUGUCUGAAUGGAAUGUGAAUACUGGGACAAGUUUGGGUUUCAAUUCAUGAUAUGCGUGUCCAGGAUGACCGCCCCCGAGGUGCACAAAAGUGAGGCCACGACCAGGAGCUAGGCGGCGGUGGACUGGAGAAUUUCUCUCUGUUAAUUCCGUCUCUCUCUCAAUAAGUUUCUCUCUCUACUCUCUGUGUUAACUCUCGCGCUCUCUCUCUGUUAAUCCUGCAUGAAGAAUCAACGGAUUGUGAAUUUCAGACUUUAGUGAAAGCAACAGAUUCAGUGGGCAUGCGCGACUGCAUCCUACUGGUGCAUUUAAUCUAUGUAGUUGAACUAUAUUUGGCACUCGAAGUGAGUGGUUGUUAAGAACAAGUUGCAUAAUGACAGUUUCUUAUUUUCUUUCUGUAGAGUUAUGUCAUCCAAUGCACAUAAUUAGUCAGAAGAGGGAGCUUUAUGAUGCAGAUUGUGCACAAGACUUGGGGUUGUAGUUACGUGUUCAAGUUUUAGCUGCAACUUCAUAGUUUAUUCCACUUGCAGAGAGAGUGGAGAUGGUAGCAUAUUUUGCAAAAGUUUAACCAUUCUCUUUCCAAUUGUUCGUCUAUUGUCCAAGCUUUGAAUGAUAUAAGUUACUUACCUAUCUGUCAUUCUAAAGUAUGCUCAAAUAAGAAUCUAAUUAAACGUUUUGUCC